rnacentral:tRNA from 1 species
GGAUUGCUAGCUCAGUUGGUAGAGCAUUCGACUCUUAAUCGAAGGGUCCAGGGUUCGAGCCCCUGGCAAUCCACCA